UGCGUGCCCGCAAGGUGAAGCGUGAUGGUUUCCUGUGCUGCAUACCGUGAAUGUGGAAGUUGUUGUGCAUGCUAAAAAAAGUAUAUUGCUCCGCCGAUUGCCUUGCAAGUGGUAGUCGGUGGACGAUGCCAGUGCUCCUCGAUGUCCUCACUCACCCGAGACUCUUUGCGAGCACGGUAGUGACGGGCAUUCGGGUUCUCACUCAUCUCUCGGACGCGGAACGUUUUAAUGGUGCGUGGUCCAACGACCUCUAUGUGCCCAAUCGAUGUUGCACCCCGAUCGAAUGACGGUCAUGCCCCGUCACGACUGACCCCUAGCACCGCGCUGGGGCAGCCAAGCGGCGGCAUUGACGUCGUC
rnacentral:misc_RNA from 1 species